rnacentral:rRNA from 1 species
GACGAACGCUGGCGGCGUGCCUAAUACACGCAAGUUGAGCGCUGAAGGUUGGUACUUGUACCGACUGGAUGAGCAGCGAACGGGUGAGUAACGCGUGGGGAAUCUGCCUUUGAGCGGGGGACAACAUUUGGAAACGAAUGCUAAUACCGCAUAAAAACUUUAAACACAAGUUUUAAGUUUGAAAGAUGCAAUUGCAUCACUCAAAGAUGAUCCCGCGUUGUAUUAGCUAGUUGGUGAGGUAAAGGCUCACCAAGGCGAUGAUACAUAGCCGACCUGAGAGGGUGAUCGGCCACAUUGGGACUGAGACACGGCCCAAACUCCUACGGGAGGCAGCAGUAGGGAAUCUUCGGCAAUGGACGAAAGUCUGACCGAGCAACGCCGCGUGAGGGAAGAAGGUUGUCGGAUCGUAAAACUCUGUUGGUAGAGAAGAACGUUGGUGAGAGUGGAAAGCUCAUCAAGUGACGGUAACUACCCAGAAAGGGACGGCUAACUACGUG